rnacentral:misc_RNA from 1 species
ACUGCUAAAUGCUACUCCCUUCGUCCCAUAAUAUUAGGCAUUUUGAGUUUUUGCUUGCAACGUUUGACCAAUCGUCUUAUUCAAUUUUUUUUAAAAUUAUUAUUUAUUUUAUUUAUGACGUACUUUAUCAUCUACAGUACUUUAAACACAACUUUUUAUUUUUUAUAUUUAUAAUAAAAAAUUGAAUAAGACGAAUAAUCAAACGUUGCAAGUAAAAACUCAAAAUCCCUUAUAUUGUGGGACGGAGGGAGUAAUAAGGCGAAUUGGAGC